rnacentral:tRNA from 1 species
GGGGCUGUAGCUCAGUGACAAAGCACUUGCCUAGCAUGCAUGAGGCACUAGGUUCAACCCUCAGCACUA